rnacentral:rRNA from 1 species
CCAGUUCGGACUGCAGGCUGAAACUCGCCUGCACGAAGUUGGAAUUGCUAGUAAUCGCGGAUCAGCAUGCCGCGGUGAAUACGUUCCCGGGUCUUGUACACACCGCCCGUCAAACCAUGAGAGUUGGCAACACCCGAAGUCGGUAGUCUAACCGCAAGGAGGACGCCGCCGAAGGUGGGGUUGAUGAUUAGGGUUAAGUCGUAACAAGGUACC